rnacentral:tRNA from 1 species
GCCCUCGUGGCGGAAUUGGUAGACGCAACGGACUUAAAAUCCGUCGACCUAAAAUGUCAUCCCGGUUCAAUUCCGGGCGAGGGCACCA